rnacentral:rRNA from 1 species
GAUGAACGCUGGCGGCGUGCCUAAUACAUGCAAGUCGAACGCUGAAGCUUGGUGCUUGCACCGAGCGGAUGAGUUGCGAACGGGUGAGUAACGCGUAAGUAACCUGCCUCUUAGCGGGGGAUAACUAUUGGAAACGAUAGCUAAUACCGCAUAAAAGUCGAUAUCGCAUGAUAUUGAUUUGAAAGGUGCAAAUGCAUCACUAAGAGAUGGACCUGCGUUGUAUUAGCUAGUUGGUGAGGUAACGGCUCACCAAGGCGACGAUACAUAGCCGACCUGAGAGGGUGAUCGGCCACACUGGGACUGAGACACGGCCCAGACUCCUACGGGAGGCAGCAGUAGGGAAUCUUCGGCAAUGGGGGCAACCCUGACCGAGCAACGCCGCGUGAGUGAAGAAGGUUUUCGGAUCGUAAAGCUCUGUUGUAAGAGAAGAACGAGUGUGAGAGUGGAAAGUUCACACUGUGACGGUAACUUACCAGAAAGGGACGGCUAACUACGUG